rnacentral:rRNA from 1 species
AAACGGGUGCGGAACACGUACGCAACCUUCCCAAAACUGGUGAAUAGCCUUCCGAAAGGAAGAUUAAUACACCGUAACAUAAUGGAGUGGCAUCACUUUAUUAUUAUAGCUCAGGGGGUUUUGGAUGGGCGUGCGCCUGAUUAGGUAGUUGGCGGGGUAACGGCCCACCAAGCCUGCGAUCAGUAACUGGUGUGAGAGCACGACCAGUCACACGGGCACUGAGACACGGGCCCG